AUUGAAUACAAGGGUUAAUUUCACGUCAUUUCAUUUCUGACCCUGGUUUCGAGUUACAGUGUACUCUGAGGGCAAUAUUCUCAUGCUGUAAGUAGUGGUUGUGAAAUGGGCGUUUCUUUAUCGGUGUAAAUUUUUGGUUACGUAAUCACAAGGUAGCCUGUACCACACCUCGUGCAGUUUCCGCUUGCGUGCGGAAAAUAUAGCGGCGCGUGACAAACGCUCAUGGUCGUUUGGCGUGGUGAUGCGAGUUUGGAGAGUCGGUGCAAACUGAAUUGUACGCCGUGUUGCUCGCCUUGGAUUCCUGUGCCGAAGGACUUCCCACCCUCCAAUACAGCUUUUCCCGCAUUGCUAUGAGCUCACCAUGUGACCACAUUGUUGCAGUAGCGUACCACACGGCACCCUAUGGACUGCUGGGCGUCAACACAGUUCCUCCUCUUCUGUACUGAAAGGGAUGAGACUUGUCAAUGAUGGAAGACCUCGGGACUGAAUUCAGGGGGUGAUAUCUUGAAAAUGGGAGCGCUCCGGUUCAGAACUAAUGAGGCUGCAUGCGGGGUUUGUUUGGACUGGAAAGGGAACACUUUAAAGCAGUUGCAGUCACUGCUUGGGAAAGAAAAAAACAGCUGCCAUUUUGAAUAUCAAAAGAACCGAACAGUCCAAUUUAAGGAGAGAGAAAGAUUAAAAUCACUGGAGGUUAGCAUAAAAACAAUGUUGCUGUCUAAAUGUGUUGUAUAAUGUGAUGCAUCUUUUUUUUGUAAAGCUUUAUUUAAAAUAAAGGUGUUAAUUGUGUAAUGUAACUCUGAUGU
ensembl:lncRNA